CGGGGUCUCCACAGGGUCCUGUGUCCUCCGCGAGGAGCGACGGGGUGUCCAACCUGUGAGCGCGCAGGCAUCCCCGCGGCCCUGGGGCAUCCUGGAGAUUAUCCCCCGAGAAGCCACCUCUGACGUGUCCCGAAGCCCAGGGAUCAGCCCACCUUCCUCACCUGCGUGGCCAGCACAACCCAGGGGCCGCCUUCGUCGGGGACUUCGGGGGAGAGUGGC